UGUCGAUAUGAUGAAAACUUUAACCAGUUCUGCUACUGACACAACAGUGAUGAGCUUAUAACACUUCUGAUA